AUUGAACGCUGGCGGCAUGCUUUACACAUGCAAGUCGAACGAGUGGCGAACGGGUGAGUAACAUAGCGGAACGUACCCAGUAGUGGGGGAUAACUUUGCGAAAGGGCGGCUAAUACCACAAAGUAUUGGAGCGGCCGAUAGCGGAUUCGCUGGUUGGCGGGGUAAAGGCACACCAAGGCGACGAGCCGUAGCGGGUCUGAGAGGAGGACCAGCCACACUGGGACUGAGACACGGCCCAGACUCCUACGGGAGGCAGCAGUGGGGAAUUGUGGACAAUGGGCGCAAGCCUGAUCCAGCCAUCCCGCGUGUCUGAUGAAGGCCUGCGGGUUGUAAAGUACUUUUAGCUGGGAGGCGUUACCUGCAGAAGAAGCACCGGCUAACUACGUGCCAGCAGCCGCGGUAAUUC
rnacentral:rRNA from 1 species